CAGAUACUUUAGGGGUGUCUGCGAUAAGCAGGCUGAGAUUUUACCCUUGGAACCUGAUCUAGUUCAUACUAGCGUAGGGAAAAGUAGGAUGACAAUU
rnacentral:ncRNA from 2 species